GCAGUCGAGCGGCAGUUGAGUAGUAAUACUUGACCUAGAGCGGCGCACGGGUGCGUAACGCGUAUGCAACCUACCUUUUACUGGGGGAUAGCCCGGAGAAAUCUGGAUUAAUACCCCAUGGUAUCUACGAAUCGAAUGUUUUGUAGCUUAAAGAUUUAUCGGUAAAAGAUGGGCAUGCGUCUGAUUAGCUAGUUGGCGGGGUAACGGCCCACCAAGGCGACGAUCAGUAGGGGUUCUGAGAGGAAGGUCCCCCACACUGGCACUGAGAUACGGGCCAGACUCCUACGGGAGGCAGCAGUAGGGAAUAUUGGGCAAUGGUCGCAAGACUGACCCAGCCAUGCCGCGUGCAGGAAGACGGCCCUCUGGGUUGUAAACUGCUUUUAUCUGGGAAGAAAAAGUCCAUGCGUGGAAAAUUGCCGGUACCAGAUGAAUAAGCACCGGCUAACUCCGUGCCAGCAGCCGCGGUAAUACGGAGGGUGCAAGCGUUGUCCGGAUUUAUUGGGUUUAAAGGGUGCGUAGGCGGCUGAAUAAGUCAGCGGUGAAAGACUUCGGCUUAACCGGAGCAGUGCCGUUGAUACUGUUUAGCUUGAGUGUUGGAGGGGUACAUGG
rnacentral:rRNA from 1 species